GUGGUGGUGUCCAUGCUGAACACGGCUCCCUUACCUGUCAAGAGCAUCGUGCUGCAGGCUGCAGUGCCCAAGUCAAUGAAAGUGAAGUUGCAGCCACCUUCUGGGACAGAACUCUCUCCAUUUAGCCCCAUCCAGCCACCUGCAGCCAUCACCCAGGUCAUGUUGCUGGCCAAUCCACUGAAGGUGAGCAGCAAAGAACCCAGGGGUCCCAGCCUGAGGCCCCAGCUGCCCCAGAUUAGGACCUCAGGACCACCACCUCCCAGCUGGAAGUGUUUUGACUGUAGGAUUGACACAUCGCUUUGCUGCCUUAGGUUAAGCAUCUGAGCAUGGUUGGGGUUGCGGGGAAAAGGGACCAUUCCUCUAGCACAGAGAGGGUAGCAGAAUAGAGGGCGUCCUGCCGAGGGGCCGCCCGGGCUGGAUCUCACUUGCUGCCCUCUGUCACAGGAGAAGGUGCGGCUUCGGUAUAAGCUGACCUUC
rnacentral:sRNA from 1 species